rnacentral:miRNA from 1 species
UGCCUGCUAUGUGCCAGGCA